rnacentral:rRNA from 1 species
CUACGGGUGGCAGCAGUGGGGAAUAUUGCACAAUGGAGGAAACUCUGAUGCAGCAACGCCGCGUGGAGGAUGACACUUUUCGGAGCGUAAACUCCUUUUAUAUAGGAAGAAGAUGACGGUACUAUAUGAAUAAGCGCCGGCUAACUCCGUGCCAGCAGCCGCGGUAAUACGGAGGGCGCAAGCGUUACUCGGAAUCACUGGGCGUAGAGAGCGUGUAGGCGGAUUAAAAAGUCAGAAGUGAAAUCCUAUAGCUUAACUAUAGAACUGCUUCUGAAACUCUUAAUCUCGAAUAUGGGAGAGGUAGAUGGAAUUUCUGGUGUAGGGGUAAAAUCCGUAGAGAUCAGAAGGAAUACCGAUUGCGAAGGCGAUCUACUAGAACAUUAUUGACGCUGAGACGCGAAAGCGUGGGGAGCAAACAGGAUUAGAUACCCUAGUAGUC